AGCGAACGCUGGCGGCAGGCUUAACACAUGCAAGUCGAGCGGGCGUAGCAAUACGUCAGCGGCAGACGGGUGAGUAACGCGUGGGAACGUACCUUUUGGUUCGGAACAACACAGGGAAACUUGUGCUAAUACCGGAUAAGCCCUUACGGGGAAAGAUUUAUCGCCGAAAGAUCGGCCCGCGUCUGAUUAGCUAGUUGGUGUGGUAACGGCGCACCAAGGCGACGAUCAGUAGCUGGCUGAGAGGACGAUCAGCCACAUUGGGACUGAGACACGGCCCAAACUCCUACGGGAGGCAGCAGUGGGGAAUAUUGGACAAUAGGCGCAAGCCUGAUCCAGCCAUGCCGCGUGAGUGAUGAAGGCCUUAGGGUUGUAAAGCUCUUUUACCUGGGAAGAUAAUGACGGUACCAGGAGAAUAAGCCCCGGCUAACUUCGUGCCAGCAGCCGCAGUAAC
rnacentral:rRNA from 1 species